rnacentral:lncRNA from 1 species
GUCAUUACCUACGUGCCCUGUAGCUGUAUUGUAUGCCCUCAAACAUAAGUCUAGUCAUAAAAAUAUCGUUAGUGUUUACUUUUUACAUCGCAAAGACUUCUCCCCAUCCUCAAAUACAGUCGUUCAUAGAAUCGCCAAGAAAAUGACGUCUAUAGACUCUAAAUGCACAGGCUUUUUUCCCUUUAAAACGAAUUACAACUGUGGGCAAUAAAACACACGCUUAUUGUUGAAAAUGCAAAUGCUGUUUGAUUAGUUAUAUAUCAAUAAAGAGUUAGGUAGGUAAAUGAAAUAGAUAAAAAAAAACAAAACAAAAAACAGCAGCAGCCCUCAUUAAUCUUAUUUUUGGAGUGAAAUGCUUGUCAUCUUUUAAUUGUUAUUUUGUUUUUAUUUCAGGCGGUAAAUGGGGACUGUCUCUAGCUCUUCGAGAAGCCGAAUUGUUAUGUAAUACAACAAACAUAUACAUAUGCAUAUAUUCUAAAAACAUAAAUACACUAAUUGCAUUGCCAUAGAAUUUCAAUACACAACUUCAACAAUAAUUUAUUAUUGUCAUGCAAUAUCAUAAUUCCUCAGUCGGGAUUGUUGUAAGAUUGGAUAUUCACACCUCCAGGAUGACGAUACAUUGAUGCCC